GCCCUAUUUUUAUGAAGAUGAGUUUGUUUCUCAUGCUUUAUUUAACUGGAGCACGAUGCUGUUUUAGAGGCCUGACUGUUGCCUCAGAAUGCGAGCAUUGGCUGCUGCACCAGAGCUGGAGCAUCCGUGAAUGAAAAGUUUGGCCUCAUAUCUCUGGAUAGCCACCCAGCAGUAACGACUUGUCCUGCAUCAUUCAAGCUUUUGUAGGACCCGUAAAUGUUAAGAAAACUCUGAAGGUUCAUGCGAGUUCUUCUCACUAGUAGUUGCCCUGGUUUGCUGUUACGCAUAUGAUGUAUGCUUAGGUGAUGUAAAUUCCAGAAGAGAAAGUUGUGUUUUCACCUUCUGUCAAGACUUGCAGUAGGAGCUGGACAUCUUUAUUCCUCAGAGAUUCCCUGGUGUGCUGGGUACCUCAGAGCAAAAUUCCCAUCCUCCUCCUGUUGCCCUUUUCCCAGCAAUUACUAUUUGGAUUUUCCAUGUAAGAAGCUCUGAUAAUGCCAGCCAUAUGUCAUUACCUGGUAUCAUUCAAAUACCAUUUGAUGGGUAUUUUCCAAAGCAGGAGGAAGGCUUACACACCACCCUUUAUAGUAUAUUGACUUUUUUUUUUUUAAACGAUUGUGGUGUGUCCUUUACGAAAACAAAAGUGAUUUGAAAUGGUCUGAUAAUACAUUGUUCCUGUUAGAGGAUGUGUCACUUCAUAUAGGUGUUUAUUCAGAUUGGGUAAUUCAUUUUACAGUAAUUGUAUUUUAUGCAAUUUUAAAAAUGUUUGUGGGCUAUUUUAAGUUGUCUUGUAGGGUGAAAUAUAGCUUGUUACAGCUUAACGUGUACACAAGUGUAUGAAAGUACCACUGAAAUUGUGUAUUAAGCUGAUCUUAAGUGUGGUAGAAUUUUCUUGGGUUUGUUACUACAUUUCUAACUAUACUUACAGCUUCAGGUAAAAUAUAUGAAGAUGCUCUGGAAUUUCAUGAGGUAUAGCUCCCAUUUAAGAAUCACGUCUAUAAAAAAUUCCUCUUUUGAUGAUACUCAAUUAGUUUAACAGACCGACCAGUUUUGUAGUAAAAAAUACAGUAAAAUCAGUUGUAGAAAAAUGAUUAAUUCAACAUAUCUCUGCACAAUAACAAGAACAGGUUGUUCCUUGCUGUGCUGUUCGUUCACAGUUGUUUCUUCGUGCUACCAUCCUCGCAGCAUGUGUUUGAUUUUUGCUCCUAGUAUCAGCAGAAGAAUUUGAAAUGCUGCAAUUUUAAGUUAACUUCCACGGGGAGAUGAGGGUGGCCUGUCAGGCUGUCCUUUGUUUUUUUGAUGUGACCCUGGGGAAAAAUAAUUUGAUAGUGUUUUUCAGUGCCUGACUGUGCCCUGUUUGUUUAACAUGUCUCAGAGUAGUUGUUUCUGAUCUGGCCCCAGUAAUGUUGUUGUUUAUCAGUAUUAUUAAUUUGACUGCAAGUGGGGGUAGUCUUUUGCAACGGAUAAAUACAUUGGCCUUAUACUUCAACUGUUUAAGGGAGAUUAACGUUUUAGAUCUCUUUUUAAGAGAAAAUCUAGCAAGCAAGCGAAUCAUACAGGUAGUUACUGUGAACAGACAUGUGUAUGCUGACUUUUUCUAUCUAAAUGAAUCUUAGAUUUUUUUUUUUGAGCAAUUGUCCAAAAUGUAGCAUUGUACAUGUUGAGGAGGAUGCCAGAUUAAAUAGAAAUGAUGAUUACUGUUCUUCCCAGUGAAAAUGGGCAAAUGAGCUCUUAACCCAUUUAAUCUUACAGUUAAAUCAUAAAUGUCUAUCAGCAUUUUGUAUUCGCAUCUGAGAUAAAUGUCUGUCAGCAUGCACUGGACCAGGUAGGAGUCUAUAUAUCUGGCAAAGAGGGAGUGGGGCUUUUGGUUGUGUGGCUUUUGCUUUUUUUUUUUUUUGCAUUUACUCCUUUCUUAACUUGGAAAACAACAAAGCUUACACCCUUUCUGUAAUGUGUGGUAUUUAAAACCUCAAAUGUCACCCAUCCCCUUGCCCUUUUGAUGAAUUUGUGCAUUCUGUGAAUGCUUAUGAAUCAGAGAGUAGAAGAAAACCGUGUAUUUUGCUUCAGUUAAUGAAUUUAAAUAAAAAAACCCUGUGGCUAUUGA